ensembl:lincRNA 1700061I17Rik RIKEN cDNA 1700061I17 gene
AGAGAACGCAGUGCCCAGGCUCAGCUCAGCUCCUCCUUUUUAACUUAGUCCAGGACUCCACCCAAUGGAAGAAUGCCACCUCUUCAGUUAGACCUCUCUGGAAACACUCUCUCAGACAUGCUAAAGGCAUGUUUCAUAGGUGAUUCUAAAUGCAAUCAAGUUGACAAGGAAGAUUGGCCUUCACACAAUGCUUGUAUAUGUCUGGCACGUCAUGUAUCUGUGUCAGACACAUCAUAUAUAGAUUUCCUUAGUAGAAAGAGCUGGCAAGAGAUCAAGUUGUACUCUGUGAGGAAGACCUACCUGACAUCUGACUCCUGAGGACUGAAGUUGGAAGUCACAAGUGGCUGAGAAACAUGAAGAUAAGUCUGACGAGCAUCAGAAAGAAGGCCAGAAGCUUGGAUGAGAAAAUUAGUGUUUGGGGAGAACACAGCAGUGAAGGUGGAAGGCAACUAUGACCAUCGCCCAUGGCUGCCAGCUUCAAAGAGACCAGUACUGAGAACAGGGAUGCAUCUAGCACUGACCCAAGCUCGGCGGGGAUGAACAUAUUGUACUUGGCAGUGUUGCUCUAUUCUCUGGAACCCAGCUUAUUUCUUGAAAGACAAGAUACUCUAGGAAAAGGGCCUGGAAGAAACAAGUCAUCCUAUGUCUUCAUCCUUGAAAAUCCCUCUACAUCCAAGGAAGCUACAAACAGGCUCACUCCUCACAGCAUUAGAUUGGUCAAGGUCCAGCAAUCAAAUGCAGUAGUGUCACGUGUUUGGUUACCUCUGCCACGGCUGACAUCAGAUGUGCCCCUGAAAAACUCUACGCGAGUGCGCAUCUCCUGAAAGAGCCUAAGUGAAAUUAGAAGCCACUCUCUUGGAACUGAUCCUGGUGAACAUGAUUCGGAUGAACUGAUUCUCAAAGGCCAUCAGAAGGAAGAGGAAAGGAAAGACCAUUCUGAGCAGAGGAAAGCAAAGAUCAAAGCUAGCCACAGAGCACAGUUCACAGAAACAGCAACAGGCCAGAGGUCAAUGGCUCCAAAACUAACUUCAAAACAGGAAAGGAGAGCUGACCAAUACCCUUGACCUUUGGAGGAUGUCAGUGUGAGUCAACAGGUUACUCUGAACUCGUCAGUCAGAGCACCGCAACAGGCUUCUGAGUUCUGUCAGUACGGGCUCUCCAGGGCUAUCUCAGUGACUUGGGAUCAAGCCAAAUCUCAAAUAGUAUUCCAGUGGACAGAGACGGGGGACAAAGCAACCAAUUAAAGGCAUCUUUCCUUGGAUUUGACUUACUAAAUAACAUCACUUCGAUACUUGGCUUGGGAGUACAUUCAGAGAUCAAAGUGUACCGUUUUACUAGCAAAACUCCACCCAUGGUCCUAUCUGUGCAGUUGUGUGAGCACACUACUCACACCACUAUACUCCUUCCUGUGGAGAGUGAGCAAGAUGGCUCUAUGGAUAAAGGAGCUUGCUGCCUAGCCCAAAGAUCUGAGUUUGAUCCCUGGGGCGCAGGAGGUAGAAGAAAUAACUCCCACAAUGACUUUACACACAGACUGUAUUAUAUGUGCCCAAGCACGUGCAUGCACACAAACUCACACAAAGAAAUCAAUGAAAGCAUAACAAAUUCACACAAAAAAAUCAAUAAAAGCAUAAUAAAAUUU